AAAAAAAAAAAAAGUCUGUGUUAGAGUGAGAGCAUAGAUAAUAACCAGCUACUACUGUGAAGAUAAUUCAUGUUCCAUUUGAACACCUUUCUUUUCUGCUCCAACAUUCCUGAAGCACUCCACAAUCCUUACAGGCCUGUUGUGAGAAGGUUAGGAUGGGGAGGUGUAUGAGAACUGUUGAGUCACAGCCUGCACCACUGAUUGAGCACCUGGGGAAAGGACCUGGUCAGCAUUGGGAGCACAGCUGAAUACAAUUCAUCUGUGUGACCAGAAGGGGUGGAGCCUGGCUGCACCUCUCUUAAGCCUCAUUUAAGGGCUGACUGCCACUGGGAAAGGAUGUCUGGUUGGAGAUGUCUCCCUUGUGGAGUUUUCCUUGUGAGCCUAGAUCUUUAGAUACAGAUACCUCUGCACGUGCUGCCAAUCUAUCUCUAUGGGCUGCUCAAAAGAAGUGUCAAAAGCAGUGUGGCCAGCAGGUCCAGGGAGGUGAUCCUGCCCCUCUGUUCUGUGUGGAUGAGACUAUAUGGAGCACAGCACCCAGAUGUGGAGUUCUCAGUACAAGAAAAGACAUGGACCUUUGGAACACUCCCAAGGAGGGCCACAAAAAUGACUCAAGGAUAAGACAGAGGACUCCUGGACCCCACGGCUGACUUGUCUCAGAGAGGUAAACAAGAGGAGUGUCCAUGAUGAGCAUCCAGUUAAGGGGUCCACUUGGAAGCAAGAGUGUGUUCCAGCAUCCACGCUGCUGACUUCCAGUCACAUUCGUAUGCUCAGCUUAAACAACAAGUGCAUGUUAUGUCACCAGUGAGAUAGCAAGAGGAGGUGACGUUUCACAGCACGGACAUAGGGGGAAAGGAAGUGAAAAUGAGCACCUUCAAGAGCAGAAAUCUGCUCGCUUAAAUGUGGUUUGAAUGUCCCUGGUUCAAUGUCUCUUUGCAUGCCUCUUCCAAGCCAUGCUGCACAAAUAAAAAAGGAUGGGCAGUUUAUAUUUCUUUGGCUCCCUGCCUGCAUCAGUUAAGCUGGGUGCUGAUGAAUUCAGCCAGAGGCCUCUAAAUUGAAUCCAUGCCUUUUCCUAUGCUUUUUUUUAUUAGGUGACACCAGUAAGUGUAUUUUUCAUUUUAAAAUAAGAGAUUCUUUGACUAUCUUAACAAGAAUUAAUCUUGGAUUGGAUGGAUGUUGGGUAUGAUUGGGCUGUCUCCUCAAGUGAAGACUCCUCCAGGGUCCACCCUAGCCUUUACUGAGCUGGAGACCUGUGGACAAGACUAAUAGGGAACUGCCUUACACUGCGAGGUAAGGUGAGUAACUUCACAAUCCUCCCACUAGGUAGGUAUCAGUAAAGAGGAUCUAGAACAUCUUUAACUUCCAUUCAAAGCCACUGUGAUGAGUUCAGUAGCUGCUCUCACAGGAGAGGCCCUCAGUCUGCUAACUCCCAUCUCUGACAUAGGUAGAGCAAAGGUCACACCACUUUUGUAGUCAUCCCAGCAGCACCAUCUCUCCCCAUGUUAUUGACUUUCUUACAGGCAAAGCUGGCAGAAUGAAUGCCAUUCUUCAUAAGUCUUAGCAGGAGGGGCUACUGAAGGAAACAAGGAGCUAGAUGUUGAGGAGUCUACCAUGACAAACAAACUAUAGGGCUGCUGAGACACUCAAGGUAGCCAAAACAGACCAAAACCAGAGUCAAAGUCCUGAAGACACAGGCAUCUACCAAGUACAUUGGCUCUGAACAGUGUCUUUUCGUUGAUCGCUUCUUGCCCUACACCACCCAAGUAAGCUUUGGGGAUUUCAGAUACACAAAGGAAAAGCUGCUGACUACCUCCAAUGUGGCUUCAAGAAGGUUUGUUAGACAGAAAUAUUACUAAAAAAAUGCCAUAAUUAUUGAUAUCUAUGAUAAAGCUCAAGGAAUGGCUGAGACAGUUGUUGCCAAUCUAUUUGCAAAUUUGGAAGCGAGGCAGAUGUACCCCCUCGGCUCUGCUUGAAGCCUUCUGACAGAAGCUGCUAAAGGAGCAGGUGCUUUGAGCAGACCUUAUUACCAAAGAGGCUACAAGAUGACAGCUGUGAGAAAAUGAAGCUGUUCUCUGCAGAGGGGUUGCAGGAGGAGUGGGACAACGUCUUGGAAAAAAGCCCCGUUACGGUUUUAUUAGUCAAGUAUGAAAGGAAUAUUGUACAUCCAGGGAACAUAUGCUGCAAUACUGUUGAUUCUCACUCUUUUUAUAAGGCAUGGGGAAGAAGUGCUUUUUGCAGAGCACUAAUGGCAGACCUCAUCCCCAUCGAGUCCAAGCGGACUUCUGCAGCAUCAGGUUGUUGAGGUUAAUGCAAGAUCAAAACCCUUUGCUGGAAUUAAAAUCAGCUCCAAACAGACACGUGAAGGCUUCCAUUCCAUCUGAGGUAAAUUUUUGCAGAAGUUUUGGCUUACUGUAACCGAUCUUCUAACGAUUUCUGAAAGGAAUAGCUCCUGCAGGCAACUUGUUGGGAGCUGCAGAAAAGUCCUGGUCACCCCAUCUCCCGUUAAAGGGAGAAUAUGCAGAGC